GCGGCUGUCGUAUAGUGGUAAUACCCCAGCCUUCCAAGCUGGAGCCGCGGGUUCGAUUCCCGCCAGCCGCU
rfam:Candidatus Lindowbacteria bacterium RIFCSPLOWO2_12_FTLL_62_27 rifcsplowo2_12_scaffold_65, whole genome shotgun sequence.